CGCUGGCGGCGUGCCUAAUACAUGCAAGUCGAACGGUCUUUCUAUGGAAGCUUGCUUCCACUGAGAAGAUAGUGGCGAACGGGUGAGUAACACGUGGGUAACCUGCCCAUAAGAGGGGGAUAACAUCCGGAAACGGGUGCUAAUACCGCAUAGUUUUCUUGAUUGCAUGAUUGAGAAGGAAAGACGGCCUUUGUGCUGUCGCUUAUGGAUGGACCCGCGGCGUAUUAGUUAGUUGGUGAGGUAACGGCUCACCAAGACGAUGAUACGUAGCCGACCUGAGAGGGUGAUCGGCCACAUUGGGACUGAGACACGGCCCAAACUCCUACGGGAGGCAGCAGUAGGGAAUCUUCCGCAAUGGACGAAAGUCUGACGGAGCAACGCCGCGUGAGUGAAGAAAGGUUUUCGGAUCGUAAAACUCUGUUGUCAGAGAAGAACAAGUUGGAGAGUAACUGCUCCAGCCUUGACGGUAUCUGACCAGAAAGCCACGGCUAACUACGUGCCAGCCGCGGC
rnacentral:rRNA from 1 species